UUGAGCAAUCAGUAUAUGGUGGGAAUCCAUUCCCCUGUUCUUUCACAGGUUCUCUGCUUUUUUUUUCCACGUUGGAAAAUAUGCCAAAAUAAACCUUUCAGUUUUUUAUGAUUAGGUCAUCUGCGAAUAUUUUUUUCAAGAAACCAUAGAAUUACCAGAAGAUACAGACUUAUCCGGUCUAAAAUGUCUUGGAACGUACCCUGUCUGGCAGAGCCUUUUUAAGGGAAGAGUUUGCCAACAUGCAUGAUAUGUUGCAUCAACUGCCUUUUCUGUAGGGAAGAAGCAGCCGAGGUCCUCUGAAUAACAGAAGAAUCGGGGUAAUCCAGUGGGUGAGGACAGGCGUCAGGGCACCGGGUGUGUCUGAGGGGCUUGGGCAGAGGUCUGGCAAACUCGGUCAACCACUCACAAGUAAAGGAGAACUGAGUGCUCCUGUGAGCACAGAGCUUGUUUCUCCUUUUCUUCUUUCCCCUGGCUUCAGGUACAACGUGUCUCCUUUCUGAAGCUGAUAAAGAAGGGGAGGAGAAUUUUACAUAAGUUUUCUUUCAUCCUGGAACUAAAAAUCCUGCCAGGAAGUGAUUGCCAGCAAUUGACAGAAGUUGGAGCUGCUGAGCCCUUAGCCCUCAGGUUUCAUGCGUUGUUCCCUCAGCACGCCUGCUCUGACCCGAGGCAGAGGUGUGGAGGCUCUCGCAGGAACACCAGAGCUGAACGAACUUUGACAGAUCGUCUCUUCUGAGGAGUCGGGCCCUGCGCAGCCGCCUCUCCGUGCCGUGCUCGAGGCCAUCCAUCACCGGGAAGGAGACUUGCCCGUGUGUGAUGACGCUAAUUUUCUGACUGAAAAAGCAGACGUGCGGUGUGCUUUCCCAUAAGCAGUGUCAUGGUCUUUGUACCACGUGCAGCCAGCUGCUGAGUAAGGGUUUGAGCCAAAGCCCACUGAGUCAGAGGGAACCUCUCCUCGGACAUCAGGAGCCUCCAGAGCCCUUCUGCAGGGGCUCAAUGUCUUUAAGCAAUAACUUUAUACAGUGAAGGAUGCUGAUUUGGCCAGUAACCUUCAGAAGAGGCUUCAGAAGGUUAUACCCAGCUUCUACUUCUGAAUAGUCUAGCUUUGAUUUUCCUCACAGUUCCACUGAAGAAACCCGUUAGUAUCUUGUUUGCCCUGUUUUGUAUCAUACUAUGAUUUUUUGAUUUUGUUGCCAACACCUUUCUCAUAGUUUUUGGAGACAAACCAAUAGCUUUAAAGAUUAAUAGCCUGCCAAAAUGCCUGCAGGAUCUCCACAUCUGAUAAAAUAACUACCCAUAAUUUACAAAUCUUUUAAAUUUGGAAGCACAUGUGGACCACGGCAAAAGAACUUCUGUUUUAACAGAGUAGAGAACUCUUUUCAGUGUUUUUUGUAAGAAUAAUCUCUAUACUUUCAGGACAUUGUUCAGUCUUUCUUACUAGCUCUGAUGAAAGUGAAACCUUUGCAUUAGCUCUGUAGUAAGACAUAACUCAGACAAUUGUUUGUUCCUUAAUUUCUGGUGAAGAAAGUUGUAGGUUUUAUGUAUGCUCAACAGAAGGUGUGGCUCUUAGUGUUAUAUAAAGACUGAAAACAAGUAAUCUUUGAAAACAUAA